rnacentral:rRNA from 1 species
GGGGGAAUAUUGGACAAUGGGCGAAAGCCUGAUCCAGCAAUGCCGCGUGAGUGAUGAAGGCCUUAGGGUUGUAAAGCUCUUUUACCCGGGAAGAUAAUGACUGUACCGGGAGAAUAAGCCCCGGCUAACUCCGUGCCAGCAGCCGCGGUAAUACGGAGGGGGCUAGCGUUGUUCGGAAUUACUGGGCGUAAAGCGCACGUAGGCGGCUUUGCAAGUCAGAGGUGAAAGCCCAGGGCUCAACCCUGGAAUUGCCUUUGAGACUGCAUCGCUAGAAUUGUGGAGAGGUAAGUGGAAUUCCGAGUGUAGAGGUGAAAUUCGUAGAUAUUCGGAAGAACACCAGUGGCGAAGGCGACUUACUGGACACAUAUUGACGCUGAGGUGCGAAAGCGUGGGGAGCAA